UGUUUGCUUGGGGGUUUCUGUGAGACUCACCUGGUCGUGGCGUUUGUGGGCUUUGGUCAGCCGUGGUUUGGAGGUUGCGGCUGAGCGAGCGUGUCUGCAGGAAGCUGGUGUGGCAACUCCCCGUUCUGCGCCAUCAACGUGUAGACAAUCAGAGCAGAAGAAAUCCCAUUUUAAGGCGGAUCCACAACACACACACGCAUGCUCCUAUUGUUCCCAACUAUCAUUCUGUCCACAUUAGAUUUCAAUGAUGCACACACAAGCAAAUACACUAAUGCACUCUGCUUGUUAUUGUUUUUUUCUCUUUGUAUAUCAAUAUAAAGAAUAUAUCUCUA